rnacentral:rRNA from 1 species
CCUACGGGUGGCAGCAGUGAGGAAUAUUGGUCAAUGGACGAGAGUCUGAACCAGCCAAGUAGCGUGAAGGAUGACUGCCCUAUGGGUUGUAAACUUCUUUUAUAUGGGAAUAAAAUGUUACACGUGUGGGAUUUUGUAUGUACAAUAUGAAUAAGGAUCGGCUCACUCCGUGCCAGCAGCCGCGGUAAUACGGAGGAUCCGAGCGUUGUCCGGAUUUAUUGGGUUUAACGGGAGCGUAGGUGGAUUUUUAAGUCAGUUGUGAAAGUUUGCGGCUCAACCGUAAAAUUGCAGUUGAAACUGGCAGUCUUGAGUACAGUAGAGGUGGGCGGAAUUCGUGGUGUAGCGGUGAAAUGCUUAGAUAUCACGAAGAACUCCGAUUGCGAAGGCAGUUCACUGGACUGCAACUGACACUGAGGCUCGAAAGUGUGGGUAUCAAACAGGAUUAGAUACCCCUGUAGUG